GACGAACGCUGGCGGCAUGCCUAAUACAUGCAAGUCGAGCGAACAGAUGAAGUGCUUGCACUUCUGACGUUAGCGGCGAACGGGUGAGUAACACGUAAGGAAUCUACCUAUAAGCGGAGGAUAACAUUCGGAAACGGGUGCUAAUACCGCAUAAUAUCUUCUUCCGCAUGGAAGAAGAUUGAAAGACGGCUCUGCUGUCACUUAUAGAUUACCUUGCGGUGCAUUAGUUAGUUGGUGGGGUAGCGGCUACCAAGACGAUGAUGCAUAGCCGACCUGAGAGGGUGAUCGGCCACAUUGGGACUGAGACACGGCCCAAACUCCUACGGGAGGCAGCAGUAGGGAAUCUUCCGCAAUGGGCGAAAGCCUGACGGAGCAAUGCCGCGUGAGUGAAGAAGGCCUUCGGGUCGUAAAACUCUGUUAUAAGAGAAGAACAAAUUGUAGAGUAACUGCUACAGUCUUGACGGUAUCUUAUCAGAAAGCCACGGCUAACUACGUGCCAGCAGCCGCUGUAA
rnacentral:rRNA from 1 species